rnacentral:rRNA from 1 species
CUUGUUCUGAUCCGCUAUGGCGUCUCUCAGUUCAUCGAAGAGCCCCUUCCCCCCAACGCCACCGCGUUCCAGCGCGAGCUCGACGCCCACCUCGUGCUCUGGAUCUACUCCACCAUUGCCGACAACCUUGUCGAUCACGUCAUCAGGGCCACCACCACCUACGAUCUCUGGCAUCGCAUUCGCGACUACUUCCUGGCGAACUGCACGGCGCGGUACAUGAUGCUGAACCGGCAAUACCGCAACCUCAAACAGGGGGAUCUCUCCGUCGCCGAGUACGCCCGUCGUAUGAAGCUUCUCACCGCCGGCCUCGCCGACAUCGAGCACGCCGUCACCGAGGUGGAUCUCACCACUCAGUUUCUUCACGGCAUCGACAAAUGUCUCGACACCAUGCGCGUCGUGCUCGGGGACACGGUUCCUCUGCCGCCGUUCGAGACGGUGUUCUCUCGU